GUCUAUGGCCAUACCACCCUGUAGGUACCUGAUCUCAUCUGAUUUCAGAAGCUAAGCAGGGUUGGGCCUGUUUAGUACUUGGAUGGGAGAACCCUGAAUACCUCUAGGGACAAUGAUG
ensembl:rRNA 5S_rRNA 5S ribosomal RNA